rnacentral:tRNA from 1 species
GCUGCGGUGGCCUAGCUGGUUAGGGCGCCAGACUCAUAGGGUUUUGAGCAAUCGAAGGCGCCAUCAUCUGGGAUAUCUGGAGGUCGGGGGUUCGGAUCCCCCUCGCAGCA